AGUAUAUACCGUAGCUUGCUACACCAUAGACUGUGAGUUGCGAACGGGUGAGUAACGCGUAGGUAACCUGCCUGGUAGCGGGGGAUAACUAUUGGAAACGAUAGCUAAUACCGCAUAAUAUUGAUUAUUGCAUGAUAAUUGAUUGAAAGAUGCAACUGCAUCACUACCAGAUGGACCUGCGUUGUAUUAGCUAGUAGGUGAGGUAACGGCUCACCUAGGCGACGAUACAUAGCCGACCUGAGAGGGUGAUCGGCCACACUGGGACUGAGACACGGCCCAGACUCCUACGGGAGGCAGCAGUAGGGAAUCUUCGGCAAUGGACGAAAGUCUGACCGAGCAACGCCGCGUGAGUGAAGAAGGUUUUCGGAUCGUAAAGCUCUGUUGUAAGAGAAGAACGGGUGUGAGAGUGGAAAGUUCACACUGUGACGGUAUCUUACCAGAAAGGGACGGCUAACUACGUGCCAGCAGCCGCGGUAAUACGUAGGUCCCGAGCGUUGUCCGGAUUUAUUGGGCGUAAAGCGAGCGCAGGCGGUUAGAUAAGUCUGAAGUUAAAGGCUGUGGCUUAACCAUAGUACGCUUUGGAAACUGUUUAACUUGAGUGCAGAAGGGGAGAGUGGAAUUCCAUGUGUAGCGGUGAAAUGCGUAGAUAUAUGGAGGAACACCGGUGGCGAAAGCGGCUCUCUGGUCUGUAACUGACGCUGAGGCUCGAAAGCGUGGGGAGCGAACAGGAUUAGAUACCCUGGUAGUCCACGCCGUAAACGAUGAGUGCUAGGUGUUAGGCCCUUU
rnacentral:rRNA from 1 species